GGUUGCGAUCAUACCAGCACUAAUGCACCGGAUCCCAUCAGAACUCUGCAGUUAAGCGUGUUUGGGCGAGAGUAGUACUAGGAUGGGUGACCCCCUGGGAAGUCCUCGUGUUGCAACCC
rnacentral:rRNA from 1 species